rnacentral:rRNA from 1 species
AGUGGCGGACGGGUGAGUAACGCGUGAGAAUCUGCCUUGGGGUCGGGGACAACCACUGGAAACGGUGGCUAAUACCGGAUAAGCCGAUUGGUGAAAGAUUUAUUGCCCGAAGAGGAGCUCGCGUCUGAUUAGCUAGUUGGUGAGGUAAGAGCUCACCAAGGCAGCGAUCAGUAGCUGGUCUGAGAGGACGAUCAGCCACACUGGGACUGAGACACGGCCCAGACUCCUACGGGAGGCAGCAGUGGGGAAUUUUCCGCAAUGGGCGAAGGCCUGACGGAGCAAGACCGCGUGAGGGAGGAAGGCUCUUGGGUUGUAAACCUCUUUUCUCAGGGAAGAAGCUCUGACGGUACCUGAGGAAUCAGCCUCGGCUAACUCCGUGCCAGCAGCCGCGGUAAUACGGAGGAGGCAAGCGUUAUCCGGAAUUAUUGGGCGUAAAGCGUCCGCAGGUGGCGAUUCAAGUCUGCUGUCAAAGCACGGGGCUUAACUCCGUAAAGGCAGUGGAAACUGAAUAGCUAGAGUGCCGUAGGGGUAGAGGGAAUUCCCGGUGUAGCGGUGAAAUGCGUAGAGAUCGGGAAGAACAUCGGUGGCGAAAGCGCUCUACUGGACGGCAACUGACACUCAGGGACGAAAGCUAGGGGAGCGAAUGGGAUUAGAUACCCC